rnacentral:rRNA from 1 species
AGUGAACGCUGGCGGUAGGCUUAACACAUGCAAGUCGAACGGCAGCACCGUAAGUGCUUGCUCUUACGGGUGGCGAGUGGCGGACGGGCGAGGAAUACAUCGGACUCUACUUUUUCGUGGGGGAUAACGUAGGGGAACUUACGCUAAUACCGCAUACCACCUGCGGGGGAAAGGAUGGGAUCUUCGGACCUUGCGCGAUUGAAUGAGCCGAUGUCGGAUUAGCUAGUUGGCGGGGUAAAGGCCCACCAAUGCGACGAUCCGUAGCUGGUCUGAGAGGAUGAUCAGCCACACGGGAACGGAGACACGGUCAUGAGGCCUACGGGAGGCAGCAGUGGGGAAUAUUGGACAAUGGGCGCAAGCCUGAUCCAGCGAUACCGCGUGGGUGGAGGAGGCCUCGGGGUUGUGAAGCCCUUUUGUUGGGAAAGAAAAGCAGCAGGUUAAUACGCCGCUGUUGUGACGGUAACCAAAGAAUAAGCACCGGCUAACUUCGUG